CUCAGUUCGGAUUGGAGUCUGCAACCCGACUCCAUGAAGCUGGAUUCGCUAGUAAUCGCGCAUCAGCCACGGCGCGGUGAAUACGUUCCCGGGCCUUGUACACACCGCCCGUCAAGCCAUGGAAGCCGGGAGUGCCUGAAGUACGCGACCGCAAGGAGCGUCCUAAGGUAAAACCGGUGACUGGGGCUAAGUCGUAACAAGGUAGC
rnacentral:rRNA from 1 species